CUCAGUUUUCUCAUCUGUAAAUUGGAGCCCAUGGAGCUGGUGAUCUCUAAGCUCCCUCUACAGAUUUGGUUUCUCAGGGCAACCUCGAUUCCUAGGCCUCAUCUCAGAGACUGCAAGCAGAUUCUUAGAGAGCUAAAAAUAAAGAAUGUGUUCCCCUCUGUGGAGUAAGGUUGACCCUGAUACCCUCAAGGAAGCAGACAGACAAGCCGUCAUAGUAGAAAGUGCCUAGAAUCCAGUCCUGGCUCUGCCUUCAGCUUGCUGUGUAACCUCAGGCAAAUCUCUCACCCUCUCUGUGUCUCACUCAGUGUGCCAGCUGUAACACGAAGGACUUCUACAACCCCUUCUUGUUCUAAAAUUCUAAGAUUUUGGACUUCCAGCUCCGACCCCUGCCUACCUGGGACAGAGGGGAUGGGAGGUUAGGGGAAGUAUGGAAAUUUCAGGGGAGGAGUCCAGAAUGUCAUUCUUAUACCUCCCCCAGACCCUGACCCACCACAUCCAAAGAGCAACAUCAGCUAGUCCCAAACCAGGGCUGCUGGGUUUGGGGAGCAGCUGCCUCAUCACACACCUCAACACAGUGGCUGGCCCCCAGGCAUCAGACAGUGCACAGACUCAUUACCAUUGUGACUAUGAAGUCACAGUGACAUGGCUUUGAAAUCCAAAUGAAAGAAACACAACAGAGACCCCCUUCCCUGUGGCUCAGCCUGGCACCAGGAUUUAUUGCUUUCAUUUUAAUAGGUUAAUUACUUUGAUAGGUGGCGUUGAUCUGCCCUGAUGGACGGGCAGCACCUGGAAGGCAGGGCUGUGCUGAUUGAUGCCGGGGGCCCACUCCUAUUCAUCCGUUCAACUGAUUCAUUAAGCUGUUCACCCACACUGAGACCUUGGGCAAGUCGUCCUGCCUGUUCUGCCCAUUUCCCAAGCAGCACUAUGAAGAGUCAGUUCUGCUUCCAAGAUUAUGAACCAUCCUGGCCCAGAGUCGGCCCUAAUGGCUCUCCCUGGAGGAUUUGCUGGGGUCUGCUCUGGAGGCUUGGAGUUCAACCCAGGGACCCAAGCAGGCACGUAGGAGUGAAUGUGUGUGUGAAUGCACAUAGGCGCAUGGGUGCAUGUAUGCGUGGGUGUGGGUGUGCAUGCAGGGGUACGUGUGUGUGAAUGCACAUAGACAUAUGGGUGCAUGUAUGCAUGGGUGUGUGUGUGCAUGCAUGUGUGCAUAUGUGGGUGCCUGCAUGUAUGCACAGGGGUACUGGGGGAGAUAAAAGCACAAACUCAGACUACCUGAGUGUGGCACAGCUGUG
rnacentral:lncRNA from 1 species